rfam:Schistosoma mansoni strain Puerto Rico chromosome W, complete genome
GCACUGCUGAGGAGUCCCACAAUAGGACGAAACGGUCGCCCAGUGC